rnacentral:rRNA from 1 species
GACGAACGCUGGCGGCGUGCUUAACACAUGCAAGUCGAACGGAAAGGCCCUGCUUUUGUGGGGUGCUCGAGUGGCGAACGGGUGAGUAACACGUGAGUAACCUGCCCUUGACUUUGGGAUAACUUCAGGAAACUGGGGCUAAUACCGGAUAGGAGCUCCUGCUGCAUGGUGGGGGUUGGAAAGUUUCGGCGGUUGGGGAUGGACUCGCGGCUUAUCAGCUUGUUGGUGGGGUAGUGGCUUACCAAGGCUUUGACGGGUAGCCGGCCUGAGAGGGUGACCGGCCACAUUGGGACUGAGAUACGGCCCAGACUCCUACGGGAGGCAGCAGUGGGGAAUAUUGCAAAAUGGGCGGAAGCCUGAUGCAGCAACGCCGCGUGCGGGAUGACGGACUUCGGGUUGUAAACCGCUUUCGCCUGUGACGAAGCGUGAGUGACGGUAAUGGGUAAAGAAGCACCGGCUAACUACGUG